GUAACCUGGUUGAUCCUGCCAGUAGUCAUAUGCUUGUCUCAAAGAUUAAGCCAUGCAUGUCUAAGUAUAAACAACUUUAUACUGUGAAACUGCGAACGGCUCAUUAUAUCAGCAAUUAUUUAUUUGAUGGUUUCUUACUACAUGGAUAACCGUAGUAAUUCUAGAGCUAAUACAUGCGUAAAGUCUCGACUCUU
rnacentral:rRNA from 1 species